UUGCCUUCCGCCGUGUGUGUGUGUGUGUGUGUGUGAAUCCUUGAUCUCGAAAUUGCGCUCCUGGGUCCUCGUCUGUCUGCCCUGACACACGUGGGGAGAUGGACAGGAAAGCUCAGGUGAGGGGGAUGAGGUGAUUGAUGGACAGAUGUAAAUAGCAGGAUGUGAGAUGAUAGGAACAAAGUCUGAGGUGGGUAGGGGGAGAGGCUUGGGAAAGUGGAAGGGUGGCUCGCUGCUGGAUCAUCACUUGAACCAGAAGUCAUUCUGGUGCGCCAACUUGAAGACCUUCUCAAAGAUCUUGUUUCUGCUCGGAGGAGUGAGGAAGGAUCUCUAAGGCGUGAUGAGCGAGGAUACACGAGUGCAGCGUUUACGGAAAUCUAUAACCAGCCGACACGCCCACUUAUUGGAUUUCAAUUAGUAAUUGCAGCUGAUAAGACAUUUCAACACCACUGGAGUUUCCUUCCGGAGUUAACACAGAUAACUGAAUAAACUCAAGUGUAUCACUCCCAACUUUUGUUAUUUAAGUUCUGAUUUACCAUCUAGAAACAACUUCCUUAAUUUAUUAAAAAGAUUUCUUUUCAUGAUCUGUUAUUUCUCCCAUAAACUUUUACUAUGGAUACAAUUUAAUUCAGCGAGUGUAGAGGAGUUUGUCAGCAAAAAACACUUUUUACAUUACAUUUUUAGUGUUCACUCCCCCUUAUGUCAUGUCUAGUUAUACUUCCUGUCUGUGUUUUCCCUCUGAUUGUUGAUUCGUUCCUCCUGUGUCCGUUCACCUUGCCCUUGUGUUUUAGCAUCUCUCCCCAGCUGUGUUUCGUUCCCCUCGUUUAGUGUCUGUGUAUAUAUCCCUGUCUUUCCCAGUGUUCCUUGUCAGAUCGUCAUUUAAGUGUCACCCUUACAGAUGUCUCCUCGUGCUUCUGCGUGCUCCCCGUGUCAUCCUGGUUUGUCUUUUGUUUUAUUGGCACAGUCCACAUGUCUGCAGACACAAACUCCAUCAAAAGUCUCUACAGCUGUUACAGCCGACUGACAGCUGGUCCAGCUGUGAUCCCGAACAUCAGAUACGGACGUCGCGUAACACUUCAGAGGAAAGGUUGAAAUUGGAGAUGGAGAAAAGACAGAUUAAAGGGGUUAUUGAAUUACUUUGGGGCAACCUCUGUCUGGAGCUGUCAUGACUGGUGCUGAAGGAACAUUGUCAGAGACUUCAGGGGCCUCACCUACUGCAGACAUGUCUGAACUAACUGUGACCCCUCAACUCAUCCAUGGAUCACCUCUUUUGUUGAGUCGUGACGUUUAACUUGCUGAGUCGGAGGCUGCUGUUCAUUAAACAAUGCUAAAACACAGAAAUGUUGAAUAAA